UUUCAUUUCAUCAAAAGUUUAUUGAGCAUCCAGUAUGUGCUAGGCACUCUGCUGGAUGCUAGUAAUACAAAGAUGAAGAUGAAAACAACACAAAAACAAACCCCACUUCCUUACUUACCCCUCCCCACCCCCAAUUUAAGGCAGAUUUGGCUUAAGCCUGGCAAGCUGGCCCCUCAGGGAUUCAGCACCAGGGUAUGGCAUGUUCUCAUCUCACCCUAACCUUCACCUGUGCAUCUCAAGGCUGACCAGCAGGUACUCCUUAUCCAAGUCCUGCUGCCUCUUCCACCUUCUUGAGAAACUUUUCCCCUACAUGCAUUAUCUCAUUAUGGAUGAGGCACCUGGGAAGUUUAGGGGAGCUGCGAAGGCACACCUGCUCAAAUGAGCCUGGGGAAGUGCCGAGGGACAGGGAGCUGAGACAGGCAUGCUGUGGGGUUCAGGGCAGAGGGGGCAAACUAGAAAUGUCAGUGCCUUUGGGGCUGAGACAAAACUUGACCUGGUGUGGAGGUGAUGGGUAACUGGGGCCUUGGAAUUGCUCCAUGGGUUGAUGGCGAAUCAGAGCUGGAGUUUAGGAGACUAGGGAUGCAAGGACCCUUGGAGGCAUUAAGGAGGAGGGAAUGGAAUACACAGAGGGCCUCCUUCUCUUUCAGCUUUUUAAUUGCCCUCUCUCCUCACACAGUAGAUUACUGCCACUCCUAUGAACUGUUCAAUAGGCGGUGGCAUGGGCAUGUCCUGGCUACACAGCGGCCCAGCCUCUUUAUUUUGAUGUUAGUGUGAUUAGGGAGUCUGCCCUUUUUCUGUGCCCUGGGACCUGAGCAUGUGGGAGCAGGGCAGAUGGGUGGCAGGAGGCCAGGGGUUGGAUCAUGUUCCCCCCAAAUGCUGGGAAGCAAUAAGCCUCCUCCUCCCCCCACCAUUUCUCUGGAGAUUAGGACUUAUUCUCACAGCUGGAGGAAGCUCAACAACUUUCCUGAGGACAAUGAUUGUUUGAAAGGCUUGUUUUGUAAGGAAGCCAGGAGGAAUAUAUGAGUUUGAUGAGCUAAAACAGUUCCUCAUUUGGUCUAGUUUUCGGGCCAGGGGAGUAAGUGAAAUUCACUUCUCUAUAAGAAUAAGCCCAUCCAUCUCUUUUAUUCAUGAACAGAGACAGAAAGAGUGCUUGGCAUGGCAUGCCUCCGAGGGAGGCUGUGGGAGGAGGCCAAGCUGGCAGGCUCGGGUUCUUUGCCCUUGCUAGCGCCCAGGUCAGAGGGAAAAGGAAUGUACUCGUACCCUUCCCUCACCACCUUGUAGGUCCCCAGGUACCAGGUGCCCAGGGAAGAAGGCCUUCACAAUGAUCCCCCCAGCUCAGAACAGCCCCUGCACACCCAGUAACCGGCAUCUGGCUUCUCCUUAGCUUAGUGCAGCUGUGGAUUCUGGGAAAGUGGCCUCUCUAAUCUGAACUUG
rnacentral:lncRNA from 1 species